AGCACAGUCUCUGCCAGCUCCGCUCCACCUUCAGCAUCCACAGACACACGGGAGAGAGAGAAAUAGACCUAAGUACCAGGAAGCUGCUGUCCAGUCUCACUGCAUCACCUCUUUUUUGGUCUCCUUCUGCUUGCUCCCUUGUGCAGUCUUAUUUCCCCCUGUAAGGAUGGAGAACUGUGGGCUCCCAGAAGAUUCUUUUCUGUCCUUCUUCUCCAGUCACACCUCCACCAGCCAGGUACAUCACUUCAUCACAGUACCAGGGAAGUAUUAGAACACAGAAAAGCAAAAGCAGAACCUUAUUUCAAAUUCAUAUUAAAGCACCCUAAUUUCACCCAACCCGAUCGCACUGUGAAGUUUAUUCAUCAGAAGUGCAACAAAAUUGGCGCCCAACGUGGGGCCGGGUGAAUAUGACACAGAAGUGAAUGCUGCAUAUAGAAAUAGCAGUCUGUGAGUGAAAGAAACUUGGUGCAAUCCCUGUAAUAGUGUAUGGUGAAGAAACAACCUGUCUGCUGAGGGGAAUAGAAACUAGGAAUUAGGCAAAGGAGGAUAUAUACUAAAUUAACCCCGCUGAUACAAAAAAACGCAAAAAUGGAUAUGGAGAGGUUACAAGAUGAAAUCAGCAGAUCGUUAACACAGAUGACAGUCAGUGAACUGAUUGAAACCUGCCAGGUUAUUAAAGCGUCAGAAGAGAGUAUGGCGAAAGGCAAAAACCGCCGCCAUUACAUGAGGAUAAUUAAUG